ensembl:lncRNA
UAAAUGUAGCCUACCUCCUGAAAUCAAAGAAUCCUUGAAGUUAUUGUACUCAUGAGAGAUUAAGUGUCCACCACUGAUCUAUAUAUGUUCUAUAUUAUAGAUCAGUGGUGUCCACUCAAAACACAGAAUACCUGCAGGGUUUAUACAGAAUGAAAUGGUGCAGUGCUUUUAUUCAUGAUGGUCAAUGUGUGGGUCAUUUUGUUAUGAGGCCAGAUUCAUUUAUUCAAUGAAUGCGCUUCAGUUAUCUUUUUGAUUCUUGACACAUUAAUAAUGUCAUGAUACACAAGCAAUCUGUUUUUCUUCUCCGAUUUUCUUUGUGUUUUUGUUUUUCUUUAUUUACUGCAUGUGCCCACAAGCUUGAGAUCACAUUGAAAUUGAUCUGUGAAAAUUGAAAUCUGGAAAUAAACAUAAAGUUUAUGGAUUAAAAAUAAAAAAAAAUGUAAAAAUGAAAUAAAUGAUAAAGAAAUAGUUAUGAAUGCAGUAUUUAAAGGUCGCUAAAAUAUCCAAAUAUGUUUAUUUGUUAAACCUGGAAGAAGAAAAAAACAUAGAUUUGUUUGUAAAAAAAAAAAAAAAAAAGUCAUCGAUUUUGUGCAUUUUUGGACAUUGUGGGUCAUAGAAAUCUACGCAUAUCUAUGUUGUGGGUACGCUACAGAAGCAGAACAUCAACAGACGCUUCAGCGUCCCUGUUACUACGGAAACAUUAUAUCCAAUCAAAAUAGCCAAGAUAAACGUGCCAAAUUUUCAACCAAUCAAAACGGCUUUUACUGCAGCGACUAGCAGUUUGAAACACUGCUUUUUAACAGUAGAGUGCUUGCAGAGUGAAAGCGUACGUUGUGUUAACAGAGGAACAAAUACCCUUAAGAGUCUCACUGAGAAGAUGUCAUUGAAUGAAGGGGAGCAAAACAGUCCAGUUUUACCAAGAGAUUCAGACAGAAGCAGCUCCGUGUCCUCUGCACUUCAGGCGAGUCAUCAUAUCCACCACCACAGAAGAUAUACGACUGUGACUUUCUGUCAGUUUUGACAGUUUGAAGGAGACAUUUAACGUUGUUCUCUUUCAAAUGUUCAGGAUGAGUAUGAAGAACUUCUUCGGUAUGCUGUUGUGACUCCAUCACAGCCACUGAGCACAACUCAACUCUCCAAGAAUUUGCAGCACACGACGAAAAGAGAAACACCUGCUGGUAGAACCCUUACUGGCAUAUAAUGCAUAUUAAUAAUAAUACCAGAGCAUAUAAUAAUGCUUUGUAAUUCCAAAUAGCAAACACUAAUAUUGUAAGUAAUUUUGGGGUUAAAAGGUCUGUAGAUGUAAAGCAGUGAUUGUGGGCUUGAUAGUGGGGUUGGUGCCCACUAAGGGAUAUCAACACACAUCCAAAAGGGCUGCAAGAACAGCUAAAAAUCAAGAUUGAAGCUGAAAUAAUUUAUUAAUUUGGUCCCUUAACAACUGCGAUUUUUGUUUAGGGACCAGAGCUCUUAAA